rnacentral:rRNA from 1 species
AGAGUUUGAUCAUGGCUCAGAGCGAACGCUGGCGGCAGGCUUAACACAUGCAAGUCGAGCGGGCGUAGCAAUACGUCAGCGGCAGACGGGUGAGUAACGCGUGGGAACGUACCUUUUGGUUCGGAACAACCCAGGGAAACUUGGGCUAAUACCGGAUAAGCCCUUACGGGGAAAGAUUUAUCGCCGAAAGAUCGGCCCGCGUCUGAUUAGCUAGUUGGUGAGGUAAUGGCUCACCAAGGCGACGAUCAGUAGCUGGUCUGAGAGGAUGAUCAGCCACAUUGGGACUGAGACACGGCCCAAACUCCUACGGGAGGCAGCAGUGGGGAAUAUUGGACAAUGGGCGCAAGCCUGAUCCAGCCAUGCCGCGUGAGUGAUGAAGGCCCUAAGGUUGUAAAGCUCUUUUGUGCGGGAAGAUAAUGACGGUACCGCAAGAAUAAGCCCCGGCUAACUUCGUGCCAGCAGCCGCGGUAAUACGAAGGGGGCUAGCGUUGCUCGGAAUCACUGGGCGUAAAGGGUGCGUAGGCGGGUCUUUAAGUCAGGGGUGAAAUCCUGGAGCUCAACUCCAGAACUGCCUUUGAUACUGAAGAUCUUGAGUUCGGGAGAGGUGAGUGGAACUGCGAGUGUAGAGGUGAAAUUCGUAGAUAUUCGCAAGAACACCAGUGGCGAAGGCGGCUCACUGGCCCGAUACUGACGCUGAGGCACGAAAGCGUGGGGAGCAAACAGGAUUAGAUACCCUAGUAGUCC